UAGAUUAUAAAUAUUCUUUAAUAAAUAAACUUAGUAUUCCGAGAAUUGUUUAAUCUCAAAAUCUAAGUUCAAUGGAGGUCCAGUUCAAUCUACACU